UACGGGGGGGGCAAGCGUUGUUCGGAAUUACUGGGCGUAAAGGGCUCGUAGGCGGCCCACUAAGUCAGACGUGAAAUCCCUCGGCUUAACCGGGGAACUGCGUCUGAUACUGGAUGGCUUGAGAUUGGGAGAGGGAUGCGGAAUUCCAGGUGUAGCGGUGAAAUGCGUAGAUAUCUGGAGGAACACCGGUGGCGAAGGCGACAUCCUGGACCAACACUGACGCUGAGGAGCGAAAGCCAGGGGAGCAAACGGG
rnacentral:rRNA from 1 species